GCAUAGAGUUAGUAGAACAACUCUAGAGGAAAAGCUGGGCCGGAAAAGUGGGAACCUCUAGGGCGCCGCCCUGUUGCUACUGGUCAAUGUGGCCAGCGCAAUUACUAUUGAAAGAGCUGAGAACAAGUACAGGUCACCUUAUGCUUUGUCACCUAAAAACGCAUACCUGAUGGCUUUAUGAAGGUGGUACGUUAAUAUUAAGUUUACAGAAAGCGAUCGCUAAGUCCGUGACUUAUGUAAAUCACGAUGUACGCAUUCAUGCAAUAAAGGAUGACGCGAAUUUCGGUUUCGAAUCUGUUUUUUGGAUGCGUAGUAGUUUCGUUUGACAUGCGAUCGCGCGUCGACAUCGGACGCUAUGACACACUCGUGCCUUAUGUGCCACCGAAGCCCCGAAGUGGUCUGGCAUAUACCUUCACAUGUAAGUAAAUGAAUUUAUCUCCUUGUUGAGAAUAUCACGCGAGUAGGCAGCUCUUGUGGUACAUCACAAUCGUUCGAGAAGCGUCACAGUAGAGCAUUUUUCUGCAUGUGGAGCGGUGUUUUUAUUUGCAGGUUUCCCUUCAGUAGGAAAUUGCUGGACAGGCGGACCAGCGCACCGGAAUUGUACUGGCGAAGCCACAAGCAACUCAAAGAAUCUGUUUAAUUGUUGCACUUCGAACAAUCAUGCUUCUACAAAGGCCACAGCAGAAAAACAGCCUGAUGACCGAGUAUUUCUGUGCCACGAAGUAAUCAAGAGAUAUGCAAUGGCAAGCCCUUCCCUGUGUUCCAAAGACAAUGCCUACGCCUAGCCACAGCAGCUCCCUCAUACAGACUCCGCAAACCAAGAGGCCGUGGAGGCAAAUGCAGGCAGCCAGCACACCUCAAACAGCCACCUUGACUGCGGGUGUGUCACCCUAGUCGCCAAGGAAACAUUUGAGGGAAAGUGACAGGCAAUGUGAACAGCCACUUCUCCAUGUAAACAAUACUCUUUCUCUCGGAUGACUCCUACGCCUCACCACGCCAGCACACUUGUGCACAAAGAUGCCGCAGAGGCACGUGCAGGUCAGAGGCAAGAGGCAGUGGCACUGGUGUCGACAUUUACCCAAUUUCUUUCUCUCACACUGAGGCAGCCAGCACACCUCGAACAGCCACCUCGACUGCCCACCUCGACUGCGGGUGUGUUAGUUGAUCCCUGUUGUACAUAUGCUCAUAAUAAACUUCAGUAAACUUGAACUUCAUAAUAAACUUGAAGGCAAAUGGUACAUUGAUGCAUUGUAUUUUUGAACAUUUAUUGUACACAUACAAUAUAUGUUAUACUUUGCAGUGCUACAGAGCGUAUUUUGAAGCUUCCCCCUAUAUUUUGCACCUUUAAUUACGUAUGUGUUGUGUGGCCCUCAAUGCAGUUCAUGUUGUAGCAGCUGCUUUGUCUGUGUAUCGCACAUUGGCUUAAGCUCGUGAUAUCCACAUACUUCUCUCACAUAUACAAAAUAAAGUUCUAUGUAGUCCUCAGUGUUACAACAAAAAAUGAAAGUAAACAAUCCGAUCGUGUAAUUAUGUUUAUUACAGUGAUUCCUACGACAGUUACUGACAAGUUGACAACUUGAACUGGUCAAUCGGUCCAUAGCCUCCUCUAUUUUUCAAAAAUAAAGGAGGCUAUGAUCCGUCAUGGCAAGGAAUUGUAUGUAUACAUAAAAAAAGGGGGUAUGUGUGUGUUUGUAGUGGGGGUAUAGGAUUAGGGCGAUACGAAAAAAUGUACCAACACCGUCCCCUAGACCCAUUCCGUUGAGGUACCGUAACAAAACGUAUUAUGCAUAAAAUUCAUACAACCAACUCUGAUAUUACUACAGACGCCAGGCGACGCGAGCUACAUUUGUCAUGAUGCAUUCGCGACUGCACCGGAUGCCCUCCACAUUAUUCUCGUUAAUCGUGCUCACUGCGCCGAGGCAAAAGAAAGACCAUGGGCGCAGGUGCCUUUAAAGUAUCUCGACCUUGCAAGGCACGGCUGCGCGUGCCAGGGGAGCUGUCCGUGCGAACACUCCCUGGCACACACCUGCCUCGGCGGCCCCAACCUACGUACCGUUCUGCUUCGAGCUUUGAUCCCCCCACUGUCCCUCGGGUGCCCUGGAGUUCCUGCGCCGCCUGCUCUACUACCAUCUCAGGUGCUCUCCUGAGACUUCCGUUUGUCGGUUACAUGUGCCCUACAGCUGGAUCAUUACUUAUAAUAAUAAAAAACCCGAUCUAUCGUCACGAUGAUAGAUCGCGAAAGCGGCUUUUGCAACAUACCGCGCCCGUGCGAAGAUAAUUACGGAACGCCAACGAGGAAUCUGACCACAGCUUCGAGCUCGUAACGUCGUCGAGUGACACUCCUGCAACAGGCGUGACCGCUGAAAACCGCAUACCGCCAGAAGCUUGAACAGGAUCAUCCCUCGGUUGCAUAACUGCCAGCUCUACGGCCAACAUGGACCACACCCACACCAUCCCGCAACAUAGAAUAAAGAACCGACUUAUGAAGCCCAAACACACGGCUGCACGCACACAUCACAACACUUCAAGCAUAGAGAAAGCUUCAA